AAAUCUCCACUCUUCUUGCAAAGAGGUAGGCCUAUUGCUUGUCUGUCUUCAGUCUUCCCAGUUCCCAGUCGGGCCGACAGCAUGACAGUGUGCCAUCUGUUGAAAACAGUUCACAGAUAAAAUUGUACAAACCAUUACGCAAUGCCUGCAAAGAAAGCACAAAGAACCAAGGGCAAUGUUAAGCCUUCCAGUAGUAGCCAAGCUGCCCAACUCUUAGCUGCUUCAGGACAGGCUCCAAGUGGUUUCAUCGGCUUCUCGAGCCAGCCAGCAUUUGUACCAGCCAGCGAAAUUUUUGAGGAAUGUGAUUCCAAUUUGGAUGCUGAUUUCAGGCUGGUGCUGAGAAAGUUUUCAAAGCGUGACACUACCACAAAGAUCAAGGCGCUUCAUGAGUUCUGCAGUCUAUGUGGUACCAAGGAUGAGGAAUGUGUCAAAGCUGUUGUGCCCUUUUGGCCCAGAAUCUACAACAAACUGGCCAUUGAUGUGGACCACAAAGUGCGUGAGUUGUCUCAGACGGCGCUGUCAGUGCUCGCCGCUCGAGCUGGAAAAAGCAUCGCUCCGCAGUUAAAGACGAUCAUGGGCAGCUGGCUAGUGAGCCAGUGUGACACUUACCCCACCGUAGCUUCGGCGGCUACUUCAGCCUUUGAGGCUACCUUCUCUGGUGCUAAACAAGGAGAGGCUUUGCGCUUUUGCAAGACAGAAAUCAUGCAGUGCCUCCUUUCAAAUGUUCUUAAACAGACCCCUCAAACCCUGAGUGACCCACUGACGACCAGCCAAGAAGACAUGGAGUCCAAGUACUUGCGAGUGGUCUCUUCAAGCCUCCAAGCCAUACGUAAGCUCAUGUCUGGCCUCACUGCUGAGUCGCUAGGUUCAUUGACCCCCCAGCUGUCUGAGCUCCUCUCCAGUGGUGCUUUCUGGAAACAUGCCAAGUCCACCAUCCCGAUGGUCAAGACAGGUGUCCUGAGUGUGUUAUCUGCCGUGUGCCAACUCUGCCCAGAUGUGUCUGCUUUGUUCUUGGCUAAAAUCUGUCCCUUGGUUGUCUCAUGCCUCAACUCUUCAGACCCCAGCCUUAUGGCGCAAAGCUGGGAAGCCAUUCUGUCUGUGGCCCAUACACACAAUAAUUGUUGGGAUUACGUCAACUGGCAGAAAGCAGUGUGGCCCUCACUCAAAGGUGUCUUGGAAAAUGGUUGUUCCGGACAAGCAACUGUGAUAUCUCCCUGCCUUCUGCCACUACUCAGCACUUUGCCAGAGAAAAACUUUGAACAGUUUUUCAGUGCUUUUAGAUUGGGUUUGAAUGAAGACAGUGUACUAAACAGUCCUUCCGCGUGUGCUGCGCUUGUGCGCAGCUUUUUUGAGUGCUUGCAGUACAGUCUCAAGUUCAUCGCGGGAUCUGCUUCAGAUGAAAAUAAGUUGUCAAAGAUUAAAAGCAUAACUGAAGACCAGAUGAUUGUGGUAGUGCAGGCAUCCCUCACCCACCCGAAGCCAGCUUUGUCAAGAACGGAACUAUAUAGUCUCAUUGGGACCGUGCUGUCAGCCUUAUGCGACCUUGACCCUCGUGAGGAGGAUACUGUGUGGUCAGACCUGUCUGCCUUCAUCGUAUCUCACCUGGUCCUUCAGUUCAAACCCCCAGCCCAGGAUGGUGAAAAGGAAGUGAAGAAGCCUUCACCUCAGAUCUUUCAACGACUUUCUCUCCUGGCACGAGGCAUUGUAUAUCAGGAAACUGUUUCCACUUCAAAAAGAGAACGAGUUCGAUUUGUGCAAAAAGAGAAAGAACCGUCGGGCAAAUCAGAUGUGUCAAUUCCUCAGAAACAGCAAAUGUCAUCAGCAGCAGAGAAUUUUUAUUCAGAUCUCCUGGUUGCUUCUUACACCAUGGCUUCCUUAGAGGGACCAAUGAGCUCGCAGUAUUUUAAUCUUUUUAAAGAACUUACAAUUAUCCACAUUCCCAGUGCUGCCCCAGAAAGAUUACUCCAAGGAAGGAAAGACAGCACCGUUCGGUUAAUUCUCUGUGAUCUGGGACUCAGUGAUUCCUACAGUUUGCCUCAGCACUCUCCAGACUGGUUGGCUGAGGAGUUGAAGUCUGUUCCAAAUGUUGACCAAGGUGGUCGUAGUGACGCUUACUGGAGCUUUCUUUGUGAUCAUUUGGUAGGGCAGCUGGCGGAAGCAGCAAAAGGAUUUAAUGGAGAAGGAGCGUCGGUUCAUUCCGAUGUUGUGGCCACGUUUUUUGCCUUUGUUUCGUACGUGGAAGAGGAAAAAGGGGCUGAACUUCUUCUGACCAUCCUUAACAAGCUUCAGCAACCAGUUGCAGUGUGCCAUUUCAUUGAAGAAUUGUUGGGUCUUGCCAAGCGAGUUCCUGCCUGUCAGCAACUGGUCAAAGGCCCAGCUAUUGGGGCAAGAAUAGAGAGGUUGACCACAGAUCUCAUGGCGGACCCUGAUGCUCUGAGCAGUCCGGAGGUGUCUGGUGCAUUGUGGGAGAUGUUGACUGCUGCCAUCAGCUUGACGGAGGAGAACAGCUGGCUCUUGGUCUCUGAGUCAUGCCUGGAUGCCAUCGUGUCAUCCUACAUCACCACACUGAAGCAGUUUUUGACGUCCCACGUGACGGCAACAGGGGAUAAUGUCAUGUCUGUUGUGCGGAUGGCACAGGCUGCUUUUGACAAACAUAAGCUGGCCUCUCACCCUCAGCUGUGUGAACUGGUGAUGAGUCUCAUGAGCAUACAGCUACAGACCUACGACUGGGAUCAGGAUGCUGAGACGGAGUUCGCAUCUGUUUUGGAAGCUGGACUGAGGUUGAUGCUGCAGUCUGAUGCACCGGCUCAAAAGGAGCGGCGUCUGGAAUCUAUGUGUGCCCAGAUACAGCAGUGGCUCAGGGAGUCUGUGACAAGUGUGGCAGGUCUGUCUCGAGUCACUAAAGCAGUUCGGAUUCUUGCUGUAGCAGCUGCAGGUGGAAGUGGAAACAGCGAAUACAAUGAUAGUGUUGACUUACAGAAAGAAAGUAGCACCAGUCCUUCCCUCGAUGUGUCAGUGCUGGCAUCUGUCAAGAAUAACCUGCUGGUGGAUGUUCAGCAACUCUGUGUACCGGAAGAGCAAAAGGUGAUGGAGUGUCUAUAUGCACAAGGCAGAUUACACCAGCGUCCAAAAUCAAAGGAAUCAAGAAAUGAUGAGACUUUGGUGACCUUGCAGCCGUAUGCCCUGCUGUGUGUGCACAAUCUGAGGACUCUGAACCUCAUAGCAGAACUGACAGAGGGAGAUAAUGAUGCUGUGACUGCUGAUACUUCCUUCACCGAGAAAAGGCUCCUUUGUUUGACCAGUCUUGCGUUUGCCUGUUUGGUUGUCUGGACUGCAGAACAGAUGAAGUCUUUUAGCCCGUCAGAGAGCAGCAUCAUCCUGGAGGAGCUGGAGUCAGGGGUCAAAUCUAACUUGAUGGCUCUUACAGAGGGACAAAUGUCACAAGUUCUUCAGUUCUCUCCAAAGGGAGAGUGCUUUAGUCAAAGACAGACCCUGGAUGUUGUGAAACUGCUCACAGAGAAAGAGACCAUUCCAACAGGUGUAUCUGACGUCUUCAGAAGAACAGAGUUACAGUUGCUGCUCAGGUUGGUGGACCCGGAAGUUGAGAAAGAAGUGAAGGAUCUGCUGGUGCUCCCAGUGACUGGUGAUGGAAUAUGCAAAGCCUUUAAUUUGGCUACUGGGGCUGCUGUAGGCCGUGAUGAAGCUAGUCUGGAGACUAUGUCAGACUGUAUGUGUGGCUUUGUUGAACUGGCCAAAGACCUGGAUGUGAUGACAGAAGAGGUGAAGGUCGCCCUGUUUCAACAGCUGACUGAGAUAGUGAAGGAGCUGAAAGACAAAGGCAUCCACUUGUUGACUGGAGGAGAUGCUGACUGCUCUAAAGAGCACAUGCACUUGAAUACGUGCAUUGCUCGCACGUUACCCGAUCUGAUGGUGUCACAUAGUGAGCAGUUUUGGGAGUUCUGCCUUUGUGUUCUUGUGGAAUGGAUUCAGUAUUUGUCUGAAAUUGAUGCCAGUUCCUGGUCUAAUGAUGUGACCAGAAGGCCGUUGCUGGUUUCGGUGUGUCAACUGUCUGAUUUUGCCGUCCACACCUUUGCUUCUGCUCCAGUCGUGAAAGAAAUGUCAUUGGAAGCGCCGCCCAAUUGUGUCACAGAGAAGGCCAAGACAGAAUGGGAGGAGUUUUUCUGUGAAGGCAUCUUCUCUCCACUUCUUCACAUGUUUGUAACGUUAGCUGCGUCUGAUCAAGCAACUUCAUGUGCAGAGAACAAAAUUAUGCUUGCUCCCUUAUCAAUGACGAUAGUUGCUUGCCCAAUUUCUGUGAUCUUGAAGCACCAACUGCCGGCCCGGCUGACAGUGAGUGACACGAGUGUGCUGCCCGACAGCCUGAAGACGUUGCUGAACCAUCUGUCUCCGCUGCUCAUGUCAAGGCAGAGAUGUGUACAGCUGGCGUCCUAUCACCUCUUGUCUCGUGUUAUUGAAGAUGUUCCAAGACACGAGCCGCCUGUAGGGGAGGAGAACAAGGAAGAAGAAGAAAUGAGAUCUCCGCCGGAGGCCCUGGUCCAGCUGGUGGAGUCCACCUCCCACUACCUGGACGCACUGAUGGUGGCCUCGGUGGAGGAGCAGGUGGAGAUGGAACGGGGCUCGGAAGAGAGUGCUCAGGCCAGGGGCUACAUGCUGGCCUGGACGCUACUGCUGCAGCUUUUCCGCUGCUCUCCAAAUCUGCUGCGAGCCAAAUACGCUGGGUACUUCAAGUCACGUGACUCUGUCAACCAUCUACUAGACCAUCUCUUCCGCUUGGUUCCGUCUCAGGUUAACACACCUUUGCUAGAAUUCAGUCUGGAUCAGGAUGCUGCAGGGGAAGGCAGUAGUGAAGAAUUAUCUGGUCUGGCACUUUCCGUAUACAGACGUUGUCUUGAGACGUUGCCUGCUCUCGUGAGAGUGUGGUGGGUGGAUCAGGACCGGAAGUCUUCCAACUUUGUGGACAGGUUUACUAGUCAGUACUUGAGCAAAGAUCUCAUCCUCCAUCAGAUCUCAGCGUCCAACAAUCCGACAACCAACAUGGAAGGGAUUACGAUACGUGCUCGGCCAGCAGCCCGAGAGGUGAGCGCCACCUAUGAGAUGGCAGAAGUGAGCGUGACUUUGACCAUCACUCUGCCAGAGAACUUUCCCCUGGGGAGGCUGAAUGUGGCCUGUGACCGCCGUGUGGGCGUAUCUCAGGGACAGUGGGAUCGCUGGCUGAUGCAGCUCAACAUCUUCCUACAGCACCAGAAUGGCAGCAUUGAGGAAGGCUUGCGAUUAUGGAAGGGAAAUAUUGACAAAAAGUUUGAAGGUAUAGAUGAUUGUAUGAUCUGCUUCUCUGUCAUCCACGGCACGACGUUCCAACUCCCCAGGCUGACGUGUAAGACAUGUCACAAGAAAUUCCACUCUGCUUGCUUGUACAAAUGGUUCAGCACCAGCCAAAAAUCUUCAUGUCCCUUGUGUCGGAACUUGUUUUGAUGAGAGACAGCCAGGUCUUGGCCUAGUCAUUGGUGCAACAAACUACGAGAGUCCUAACCGAGGAACAGCUUUACUAAGUUACUGUUAAUCCGUUAACUCACUCAGUCCCAUUACUGAGCUAACUAGGUCAAGGAAUCCAGACAAUGCCGAGUGGUUAUCAUUUUGUCAGAUUACUCAGUCCUACUGAGGACCAAGUUAACUUUAACUAGGUCAUAGGGUUAAGAAACUUUUUGCGCUUUGCAUUGGUAAUGCAACUACCUGUGGCAGUUCAGUGAAAUGUGUGGCUGACCUCUUGCAUUUCCUUUUAAUGUGAUUGCCUGUAGUGCACAUCAUUACUUUUAUAUAUCAACAAGUGUGGUCUGAGACUUACGAAGAUUUGGAGUUACCGUAAAAUGUUGGGGUUUGGUUAAACAAGAAGGAAAGGAUCAAUCUGUGUUUUAUUUUUCCAAAUAUUAGUCUACUGGUUUGUCUAAUUGGGUGCAUGCAUAUCUGUAUGCUCUGAACAAGAAUGUAUUCAAAAACAAGCCCAGACUACGUUGUCAAGUAUUUAGAAAGCAAUCAGAUCUCUGUCAAGAUCUUACAUGAUUCAAAUGUAUGUGGCUUACCAGAUCUUAUUUUUUAAAGUUGUAAAUGUGUCUUUGGGCUACAAUGCUACUCUUUACUUCUAUAUGGUUGUAAUGGUUUACCAGCAGAGUCGGCUGUCAUUCUAAGAUUCUUAUCUUUCUAUUGAAUUUGUAUCUUGAUAAAGUAGUGCAUUAUACUAUUGUGACUUUUUUUUUUUAAAGAAAUGAAAAGUUCUGUGCUCAGAAAUGAUGCAUUUAAGCUUUGGAAGUCAUUAAGCUUUGGCGAUAAUUUUUUUGCUAGUUUUACCUUUAUUUGCAAAUAUCUCGACUCUAGUUCAAAACCUGUGGGAGCCAACGAAUCAAAAGAAAACUGAUGUAAAAAUCAGAAAUGUAACCCACCAAGCCUUAAGAUAGAAUUCACAAGAGGAAGUAAAAAGAAAGGGGGGUAUAAAUAUACUUGGAGGAGGGACCUAAAUACAGGUCUAAAGACUUUAGGAGACAAACAGAACUGAUGCACAGGUGGAGACUAUAGCCCAGAUAAUUAGAUGGAGAACUCUUGUUGAUGGCCUGUUCUCUGGCAGUGUGAGAGAGGCCGAUGAUGAUGAUGAUGUUACUUAUUUGUGUCAUGAUAAUGAUAUCAUGUUACAGUGUUUAAAUGUAUUACAAUGAAAAGUAGCAUUGGUGUCCCAUUUGGAUUGGGAAUGGCAAAUAAAUUCUUAUCUGGACAAAAA